UUGUCAGGUGGGAUAAUACUUACUGGUUCCUCCUUUUGGAGGGCAGGUUAGAACCUGAAGGGGGUUCCAACACCCAUACUGCU
ensembl:snoRNA U8 U8 small nucleolar RNA